rnacentral:ncRNA from 2 species
CGCCUCGCCAAGGGGUGUUUGCGUUUUUUUUAGUAAACUGAGAUGUCUUAUGACAAACCCUUAGAACCUGAUCCGGCUAAUACCGGCGUAGGAAUGGGCUGCAUGCUUUAC